AACAAGGCUGUUGCUGGCCUCUCGGUUGUGCACGUCUUGUCUCAUCUUUAUCAUUUCUCCCACUGUGCACAUUUUGUAGACCCUGGAGUCUUUGGAAUUCAUUUUUCGUGUUGGGACUGCUGUGCUUGAAAGUCGGCUUUGCCUUGCAUCUCCAGGUCUAUGUUUUCAUAUAACCUCUCUGUUUGGAAUGUUCCUAUAAUAAAAGUUAUAUACAACUUUCAGCAACGGAUCUCUUGGCUCUCGCAUCGAUGAAGAACGCAGCGAAAUGCGAUAAGUAAUGUGAAUUGCAGAAUUCAGUGAAUCAUCGAAUCUUUGAACGCAUCUUGCGCUCCUUGGUAUUCCGAGGAGCAUGCCUGUUUUGAGUGUCAUUUCAAAACUUCUCAACCACAUUGAAUGAUGUGGGCUUGGAUUGUGGGGGGUCUUUUUGCAGGGCUUUCUCAAGAAGGUCGGCUCCCCUGAAAUGUAUUAGUGGUAUCUGUGCUACUAUGGUGUGAUAAAUUAUCUAUGCCUUUGGUAUGCUGCAUGAACUGCUUCUAAUUUAUUGAUUUACAUUAUGAAUUUGACCUCAAAUCAGGUAGGACUACCCCGCUGAACUUAAGCAUAUCAAUAAGCGGAGGAAAAGAAACUAACAAGGAUUCCCCUAGUAACUGCGAGUGAAGCGGGAAGAGCUCAAAUUUGUAAUCUGGCAGUUCUUGAACUGUCCGAGUUGUAAUCUAGAGAAGUGUUACCUGUGCUGGACCAUGUACAAGUCUCCUGGAAUGGAAGCAUCACAGAGGGUGAGAAUCCCGUCUUUGACAUGGACUGCCUGCACGUUAUGGUGCGCUCUCAAAGAGUCGAGUUGUUUGGGAAUGCAGCUCAAAAUGGGUGGUAAAUGCCAUCUAAAGCUAAAUAUUGGCGAGAGACCGAUAGCGAACAAGUACCGUGAGGGAAAGAUGAAAAGAACUUUGGAAAGAGAGUUAAACAGUACGUGAAAUUGCUGAAAGGGAAACGCUUGAAGUCAGUCGCGUCGGCUAGAAAUCAGCCUUGCUUUUGCUUGGUGUACUUUCUGGUUUGACGGGUCAGCAUCAAUUUCGAUCAUUGGAUAAAGUCAUCGGGAAUGUGGCAUCUUAGGAUGUGUUAUAGCCCAGUGUCGCAUACAGUGGUUGGGAUUGAGGAACUCAGCACGCCGCAAGGCCGGGUUUCGACCACGUUCGUGCUUAGGAUGCUGGCAUAAUGGCUUUAAUCGACC
rnacentral:rRNA from 1 species